AAAUUUUAUAGGAGUAUGGAAGCUUGUAUCAUCAUAACUUGAUUUUCUCAUUCAUAUCUUUGGUCUAUUGCUUUUCUGGAUCUGAUCUUGUGCAACAAAUCGAAAGCUUUAUGUGACCCGCUACCUGUUGUGCUCUGAACUCCUAUCUAGGUUGGAAUGCAGUUUGGCCAGAUUUAUUUAUGUUAGUUAAUGAACAGAGUUGGAGGAUUGACAGAGAUAUAGAGAUUAUGGCGAACUAUUGGCGAUUGGCCCAUUUAUAUUCAUUACUUAUAUACAUAAGUUUUUAGUUCCAGAUUUUGAGGUGUAUAUUUAUAUGUUUAUUAUUUAAUACUGUAUUGUUGUACAAACUGUACUCAGCGGCCAACUUGAUUGCAUUUUUUUUACCCGCUCAUUGUGCAGUCAUGCAUAAUUCAUGAAUUGAAUUGAUUCAAUAUACAGCAUUUGCAUUUUCCUUCCUUUUUGUUUCCAAAUUGAAAAAAAUAACGCACAUGAACAAGUAUAUUCACCAACAUGCCCAUAAUGGCGCGU
rnacentral:lncRNA from 1 species